rnacentral:rRNA from 1 species
UACGUAGGCAGCAAGCGUUGUUCGGAAUUACUGGGCGUAAAGAGUGUGUAGGCGGUGCUCUAAGUCUGUUGUGAAAUCUCCCGGCUUAACCGGGAGGGUGCGGCGGAGACUGGAGUGCUAGAGUGUGGGAGAGGUAAGCGGAAUUCCUGGUGUAGCGGUGAAAUGCGUAGAUAUCAGGAGGAACACCUGUGGUGUAGACAGCUUACUGGACCACGACUGACGCUGAGGCGCGAAAGCGUGGGGAGCAAACAGG